rnacentral:rRNA from 1 species
AUUGAACGCUGGCGGAAUGCUUUACACAUGCAAGUCGAACGGUAGAGGGGGGCAACCCCUUGAGAGUGGCGAACGGGUGAGUAAUAUAUCGGAACGUGCCCAGUCGUGGGGAUAACGUAGCGAAAGUUACGCUAAUACCGCAUACGAUCUAAGGAUGAAAGCGGGGGAUCGCAAGACCUCGCGCGAUUGGAGCGGCCGAUAUCAGAUUAGGUAGUUGGUGAGGUAAAGGCUCACCAAGCCAACGAUCUGUAGCUGGUCUGAGAGGACGACCAGCCACACUGGAACUGAGACACGGUCCAGACUCCUACGGGAGGCAGCAGUGGGGAAUUUUGGACAAUGGACGCAAGUCUGAUCCAGCCAUUCCGCGUGCAGGAUGAAGGCCUUC